rnacentral:rRNA from 1 species
CACGAAGCUGGAAUCGCUAGUAAUCGCGAAUCAGAAUGUCGCGGUGAAUACGUUCCCGGGUCUUGUACACACCGCCCGUCACACCAUGGGAGUCGGGAAUGCCCGAAGUCAGUGACCCAACCUAUAGGAGGGAGCUGCCGAAGGCAGGUCUGAUAACUGGGGUGAAGUCGUAACAAGGUACC